UAUUCUUGGUGAAUGUUGUUGUUCUUGAAGUUCUUCACAACCUUCAUCUCUUGUUAAAACCAAAGACACAACACUAAAGAGACUUGGCCGUUUGUUGUUGUGGAUUGGAGUUGGCCGUUGGAAUUGUUGUUGUUCUUGAAGAUUGUUGUUAUUGUUCUUGGUGCGGUUGUUGUUGUUUUUUAAGUUCUUCACCUUCCUUCAUAUAUUGUUAGAACAUAAAGUGAAUGAUAGAUCCUAAAAGGUGAAGGAAAGAGGUGUAAGUAAUUGUUAGUCUUGAAAGACCCCCAACCACCAAAAGACUUUACAUCACUUCUCAACCACUUU
rnacentral:lncRNA from 1 species